GCCCCUGUGGCGGAAUGGCAGACGCACGCGACUCAAAAUCGCGGGCCCGUCAGGGCGUGCAGGUUCGAGUCCUGCCAGGGGUA
rfam:Kibdelosporangium phytohabitans strain KLBMP1111, complete genome.